rnacentral:rRNA from 1 species
ACACAUGCAAGUCGAACGGUAACAGGUCUUCGGAUGCUGACGAGUGGCGAACGGGUGAGUAAUACAUCGGAACGUGCCCGAUCGUGGGGGAUAACGGAGCGAAAGCUUUGCUAAUACCGCAUACGAUCUACGGAUGAAAGCGGGGGAUCUUCGGACCUCGCGCGGACGGAGCGGCCGAUGGCAGAUUAGGUAGUUGGUGGGAUAAAAGCUUACCAAGCCGACGAUCUGUAGCUGGUCUGAGAGGAUGAUCAGCCACACUGGGACUGAGACACGGCCCAGACUCCUACGGGAGGCAGCAGUGGGGAAUUUUGGACAAUGGGCGCAAGCCUGAUCCAGCCAUGCCGCGUGCAGGAUGAAGGCCUUCGGGUUGUAAACUGCUUUUGUACGGAACGAAAAGGUGCCUUCUAAUAAAGGGCGCUCAUGACGGUACCGUAAGAAUAAGCACCGGCUAACUACGUGCCAGCAGCCGCGGUAAUACGUAGGGUGCGAGCGUUAAUCGGAAUUACUGGGCGUAAAGCGUGCGCAGGCGGUUUUGUAAGACAGAGGUGAAAUCCCCGGGCUCAACCUGGGAACUGCCUUUGUGACUGCAAAGCUGGAGUGCGGCAGAGGGGGAUGGAAUUCCGCGUGUAGCAGUGAAAUGCGUAGAUAUGCGGAGGAACACCGAUGGCGAAGGCAAUCCCCUGGGCCUGCACUACGCUCU